rnacentral:rRNA from 1 species
UACAGAGGGGGCAAGCGUUAUUCGGAAUUAUUGGGCGUAAAGAGCUCGUAGGCGGUGUGUCGCGUCGGCCGUGAAAACCUGCAGCUUAACUGUGGGCUUGCGGUCGAUACGGGCAUCACUGGAGUUCGGCAGGGGAGACUGGAAUUCCUGGUGUAGCGGUGAAAUGCGCAGAUAUCAGGAGGAACACCGGUGGCGAAGGCGGGGUCUCUGGGCCGAUACUGACGCUGAGGAGCGAAAGCGUGGGGAGCGAACAGG